GGGAAUUGGGGCAACGUUACUGCUGAGGAUCUGAUCGAUGCGCUUCGGGAGGUCGAUUGGUCAUCGCCUCCUCGCCCUAUCUCCGAGUUCUUCUCCAGGUUCACCAUCCCCCGAUCUUCCGCCAAGUGGAACAGCCGUCUCAAGUGCAAUCUCUAUUAUUACCGAACCAACUAUUUCAUUAUGAUCGUUUUCAUUCUUGCCCUGGGUUUUCUACGAAGGCCACUUGCUAUCGUUGCUGCUUUUCUCACAGCACUCAGCAUCGCUUUUCUGAAUGACAGUUUUGCAGGCACGUUCAGUGAGAAAGUAACCAGAACUGUUCGACAAUUCUCUCCACAUAUGGCUGCAAAGAUGAGACCUCCUCUUACGCCUGUUAUCCGUGGACGCCCAUCAGCUAAAAGAACAAUAUACAUAUGCGGACGUCCUCGAUGGGUUUUUG
rnacentral:misc_RNA from 1 species